rnacentral:rRNA from 1 species
GUCGGCGACCGGCGCACGGGUGCGUAACGCGUAUGCAACCUACCCAUUACAGGGGGAUAACACUGAGAAAUCGGUACUAAUACCCCAUAACAUCCAGGGAGGCAUCUUCUUGGGUUGAAAACUCCGGUGGUAAUGGAUGGGCAUGCGUUGUAUUAGUUAGUUGGUGGGGUAACGGCUCACCAAGACAACGAUACAUAGGGGGACUGAGAGGUUAACCCCCCACAUUGGUACUGAGACACGGACCAAACUCCUACGGGAGGCAGCAG